rnacentral:rRNA from 1 species
GGGUCAGUAGGUUGGUCGUGCCACCGGUACGUACUGGUCCCGCUGAUUCCUCCUUCCUGAAGAACCGUAAUGCCAUUAAUUUGGUGUUGCGGGGAAACAGGACUGUUACUUUGAAAAAAUUAGAGUGUUUAAAGCAGGCUAACGCUUGAAUACAUUAGCAUGGAAUAAUGAAAUAGGACGAUCGAUCCUAUUUUGUUGGUUUCUAGGAUUGACGUA